AUUGAACGCUGGCGGCAGGCCUUACAUAUGCAAGUCGAACGAGUGGCGGACGGGUGAGUAAUGUCUGGGAUACUGCCUGCUGGAGGUGGAUCAUUACUGGAACCGGCAUCUAAUACCGCAUACCAUCAGAUGUGCCCAGAUGGGAUUUGCUAGUUGGUGGGGUAACGGCUCACCAAGUCGACGAUCCCUAGCUGGUCUGUGAGGAUGACCAGCCACACUGAGAAUGAGACACGGUCGAGACUCCUGCGGGAGGCAGCAGUGGGGAAUAUUGCACAAGGGGCGCAAGCCUGAUGCAGCCAUGCCGCGUGUAUGAAGAAGGCCUUCGGGUUGUAAAGUACUUUAAGCGGGGAGGCGUUACCCGAAGAAGAAGCACCGGCUAACUCCGUGCCAGCAGCCGCGGUAAUUC
rnacentral:rRNA from 1 species